UCCAGUGCUCCCUUGGUUGUCCUCAU
rnacentral:piRNA from 1 species